AACACUUUUCCCCCUUCUGACACCCAUACUACUGUUUGUAACGUUACUCACUGGCUCUACUACAACAAUCAUAGUGUGGCUUUGAACAGGUCAGUGGAUCCAGAUUUUUGCUAGAACUCCCCAAAAGAACCACCUGGGACCACCGAAUGAUUUGGAGAGAGCUAAAGAAUUCUCUUCAUCCUCUCCCUGGUACUAUGUACUUCAAAACUACCAAGGAGAGUUGUACAUGCCAGGCGCUGAAUACAGAAUACAGAACAGAAACUUAUGUAUGCAUAUUGCUUGAGCAGUAAUUGAAAAUCCUUGAUGACUCAUGGUAAUGUGAAGAAAUAGUACUCAAUUAGUUUUCUUUGAUGUUAAUUCAGAAUCAGGAAAUGAUGAUUAUGCAGUAUCAAAAUGUCAUAAAACUAAAUUGAUAAGCCAUUAAAGCACAUAGGUAUAUACAGU
rnacentral:lncRNA from 11 species